CCGGGAUGUCUGAGCCCAAGCUAAGUUCCCAAGCCUAAGAAGUAACUGUUUCCUCUAAAGUAACAGCCAGCCCUGUCACCAUGACAUAGCUUGAUCUGAAUGAGACUGUGUAGAUAAAGGGCUCCAGGGAUGAGUGCAGGAUUCGAUAGAAGCACACCAGUACUGAAGGCCACUCAGGCAGUACACGGGAUCUUGAAAAUUAGAAGUAAACUCUAGAUGUCUCCAUCGUGACUCGACAAGAGAAACAACAGCCCCCCUCUCAGCUCCACCUUUGCCAAUGCCAGCUAAGGUGCUCACGAACUCCUGGCUUCACAGAGGACAGAGGUCAAAAGCCAUCCUAGGAGGUACAAGAGAAUGACCCAGUCUCCUAGAGGAGAGAGUCUCAACUGGGCCACCUUCUGUUCAGGUGGCAUCUGGUUGGGAAAUACGUAUUAGAAACAUUUUUUUUUCUAAAAUAGCGAAAAAUGUGUCACACAGAGAGAAAUUGACAAGCACAGUUACACCGUGAGAUUCCUACACUUGGGUGCUCUGUAAUGUGUCCUCAAGUUUGCUUAACCAAUAAAAUGCAAAAUGGU
rnacentral:lncRNA from 1 species